rnacentral:tRNA from 1 species
UGGGAUGUAGCUCAGAUGGUAGAGUGCUUGCCUAACAUGCAUGAGGUCCUGGGUUUGAUCCCCAAUGUUGCAU